rnacentral:rRNA from 1 species
GGACGGAAAGACCCCAUGGAGCUUUACUGCAGUUUGAUAUUGAGUAUCUGUACCACAUGUACAGGAUAGGUAGGAGCCUAUGACCUCGGGACGCCAGUUUCGAGUGAGGCGUUGUUGGGAUACUACCCUUGUGUUAUGGCUACUCUAACCCAGAUAGGUUAUCCCUAUCGGAGACAGUGUCUGACGGGCAGUUUGACUGGGGCGGUCGGCUCCUAAAAGGGAACGGAGGC